GUUUGUUGGUUUAAUUCCUUCAGAUUUUUUCUCUGUUAGAGUGUGAAGCGGUUUUUAGGGAAGUUUCUGUUUGGCUAUCAAGGAAGAAAAAUCACAAGAUUUUUCUUUGUGGUGUUCGUGUUGGUAGACAAAAGAAGUUAAAUUGUCCAAAGCAAAGCGACAUUGUAGAUUGUGGGCAUUAUGUCAUGCAAUUCAUGCAUGAUAUAACAUUAUCAAGCAACAAGACAAUCUUGGAAGUAGUAGAUGGAAGGAGCAGCCUCGACAUACUCAUAGGAUGAUUUAGAUGUCGUAAGAUCGGAGUUGGCUGAAUUCGUUGGAACACAUGUUUACUUUGCUGAAAGGUAGUUUAAGAAUCCGUUGACCAUGAGACUGAUCAAGUUCAUUUAUG